AAUAGGGGCAUGCAAUUGAUUGAUCGGUUCAGUUCCGAACCAAACCAGAAAACUGAACAGCUAAGAAAUUUGCCGAACCAAUUUGGAGCGAGAAACAAACCAGAAAAACAGGUUCGGUUCGGUUACACAGACUCACAGACAGCCUUUUUUCAACCCUAUCAAUUCAAAUCAACCUCACACUGAUACACAUCAUUAAUAGAAAUUUAUAUCUUAAACAAAAAUCGAUUAACAAAUUCUCAAAUCCAAAUUUCAAAUAAUCCCCAAGUAGAAAACUCCAACACAAAUGCAAUUAAACUAGAUUGAGAAGCAAGCAGAAAACUCACAAUAACACACCUACAACUCACAAUUGCACACGCACAGAACCACACCCAUGGCCACAAACACUGCUAUGCACCCACAGCUCACAGUUGCACAUGCAUAGAUAGAGGAUGGAAACAGCAUCACAAGGACCGAGAAUAGACGGCGCACGAGGUUCUUCUGUAGAAGUCGUCUUCGUAAGCACAUGUGGCUCUUUGGAUCUCGAAGGAGAAGCAGAAGCAGGCUUCUUUGACUUAAAUGAUGGAUGAGGCUGUGCUCUUCAACUUCGAGCAAGGCUUCGUCUUCAAGCCAUUGUGCUCAUUGCUGACCCUCAUUAGUUGAAGAAGAAGAAGAAGAAAGAGGGGAGGAAGGUUUCAGUUAUGGGUGAAAGGGAAGGGAUUUGUGGGUUUGGUUUGGACUCGUGGGUGCAGAAUGAACGGAAAUGGGGGAAGCUUGGUCUUUGGGUGUUAGAUCUGAGA
rnacentral:misc_RNA from 1 species